AGAGUUUGAUCCUGGCUCAGGACGAACGCUGGCGGUGUGCUUCACACAUGCAAGUCGAGCGAAUGAAGAAGGUAGCUUGCUACUUUUGGAUUUAGCGGCGGACGGGUGAGUAAUAUAUAGGAAUCUGCCCUAGAGCGGGGAACAACAGACCGAAAGGUUUGCUAAUGCCCCAUAGGUACGCAGUCUUCGGAUUGUUUAUUAAAGGAGUAAUACACUCUAGGAUGAGCCUGUAUCCGAUUAGCUAGUUGGCGGGGUAAAGGCCCACCAAGGCCACGAUCGGUAGUUGGUCUGAGAGGAUGAUCAGCCACAAUGGGACUGAGACACGGCCCAUACUCCUACGGGAGGCAGCAGUGGGGAAUUUUACACAAUGGGGGAAACCCUGAUGUAGCGACACCGCGUGAACGAAGAAGCCUUUUGGGGUGUAAAGUUCUGUCGGCUGGAACGAAAAAAAUGACGGUACCAGCAAAGGAAGCAUCGGCUAACUACGUGCCAGCAGCCGCGGUAAGACGUAGGAUGCAAGCGUUGUCCGGAUUUAUUGGGCGUAAAGAGUUCGUAGGCGGUUUGUUAAGUCUGAUGUUAAAGACCGGAGCUCAACUUCGGAACUGCAUUGGAUACUGGCAGACUAGAGUAUGGUAGAGGCAAGCGGAAUUCCCAGUGUAGCGGUGAAAUGCGUAGA
rnacentral:rRNA from 1 species